GAAAUCUACUCUUUCGUGGGGGGAUAACGUAGGGAAACUGUACGCUAAUACCGCAUACGAUCCUACGGAUGAAAGCCGGGGACCUUCGGGCCUGGCGCGAAUGAAUGAGCCGAUACCCGAUUAGCUAGUUGGCGGGGUAAGAGCCCACCAAGGCGACGAUCGGUAGCUGGUCUGAGAGGAUGAUCAGCCACACUGGAACUGAGACACGGUCCAGACUCCUACGGGAGGCAGCAGUGGGGAAUAUUGGACAAUGGGCGCAAGCCUGAUCCAGCCAUACCGCGUGGGUGAAGAAGGCCUUCGGGUUGUAAAGCCCUUUUGUUGGGAAAGAAAAGCAGCCGGUUAAUACCCGGUUGUUCUGACGGUACCCAAAGAAUAAGCACCGGCUAACUUCGUGCCAGCAGCCGCGGUAAUACGAAGGGUGCAAGCGUUACUCGGAAUUACUGGGCGUAAAGCGUGCGUAGGUGGUUGUUUAAGUCUGUCGUGAAAGCCCUGGGCUCAACCUGGGAAUUGCGAUGGAAACUGGGCGACUAGAGUGUGGCAGAGGAUAGUGGAAUUCCUGGUGUAGCAGUGAAAUGCGUAGAGAUCAGGAGGAACAUCCGUGGCGAAGGCGAC
rnacentral:rRNA from 1 species